GACUUUUAUCCCUUUGUUCAGGUGUCAAGUAGUUGGCCAUUUGGCGGAAGUCAGGUCCAGGGGGAGACUCCGGUGUCCAGGAACUCUCCCCAGGAAAGACGUCAAUCAUAAGUUCCAGGUGCUCAGGCAAGUAGUAACAUACAAGGCACACGAUGGAAGAGAUGGCGUUCCCAGAGAUGUGAAUCACAUGGGUGCGGCAUCAAGAAUGCUGCAAAGCAGAAUCUGAACUGGAAGACAGAUCCACUCCUAAUCAUGUGGUACCAGGAAAUUACCGAAACUCUUUCUACAGUCUGCGGUGCAUGCUUGGAGAAGAGGCUAAGAUGAGAGGCUUCAAUCUGGAGAUGACAAGGAUAGUCACCUGGUGCAACUAAAGGUUCAGUUUCAUACUUGUCAAGUUGUGAUGAUAUUGUUCAGGUAGUACUCCCUGACUGAUUUCACUUGCACUAUUUCUUCACAGAAGGUACUAAAAUAUCUUGUCAUGCUAAUAUUUAAUUUCUACUGAUACUUUGUGAAAAUACUCAGUUUUCUUAUACUAAAAUAUACCUGUUUACUUUUGUACUGAAAUGUACCUUCUUACAAAGAUUUCAUAGGAAGGAGGAGGUUAAGGGAGCAAAAGGCAUGUGGAGACAAGAGCCAGCUCAAGGAGAAGUUAACCCAUAAAUUACUUCAAUAAUAAUUUAAUAAACCUCUAAUUUACCUACAGAAUAAAAGGCCUAUGAUGAAAGAAUAACAUCCAGAAAAAAUACAACUAGAUAACGGUUGUUAACAACAAGAGAACAUAUGACCAAGAACAUAACUGAAGAAGUGUGAUUAAGGGGGAGCUUUGGAAUAGAUAAAAGCAGUCUCAAGCACCAAUAGGAUAUGAAAAUAGCAAUGCUCAUCCAGACUCAUCUCUUUGGUUCUAACAGUUGCAUAACUCUAGGGUACCUAACGGCUCUGUACAUCCCAGUCAUAGUGAAAUUUCAGUUUUCAGUUCACAAACAUCUUUCAGAGAAGUAACAUUACCACACAUAGCCAUUGCUAAACUGAUUUUUUUUUUUGAAUUUUUGCUAAACUGAAAAUGAACAUGAGGAUUGUCCAAGGUUCCACCAAAUACACAAACGACACCUGAACAGGUGCGGAAGGGCACAGAUCAGUAUGGCCCGUGUGGGGUUCGGGGAUUACCAUUUU